AUACGGAGGGUGCAAGCGUUAUGCGGAUUUAUUAGGUUUAAAGGGUGUGUAGGCGGUAUUUUAAGUCAGUGGUGAAAUCUCGGAGCUUAACUUCGAAACUGCCAUUGAUACUGGAAUACUUGAGUAUAGUUGAGGUAGGCGGAAUAUGUAAUGUAGCGGUGAAAUGCAUAGAUAUUACAUAGAACACCGAUUGCGAAGGCAGCUUACUAAACUAUUACUGACGCUGAUGCACGAAAGCGUGGGGAGCGAACAGGAUUAGAAACCCUAGUAGUCC
rnacentral:rRNA from 1 species